AUAUAUAUAUAUAUGAUGGAUAUAUGUAGCUACUGUGUAACAUGAUCAUCUAAUACUUUCUUUUCUGUGUACAGGCACCCACAUUGCCAUCAAGGCACGAAGUGUGGAUGAGGCCCUCUACUUUAACUGGAAAAGGUAUCACUCCCUCUGAACAUCCAACUUGUUUGUGAUGCUCCAGAUUCCCAGGUGCCUGCAUUCUUCUGGAGGUAGCUUACAGUACAGACCCAUAAUUAAUGCUUGCCUGCUCCUACACAACUGCUGCAUCAAGUUCCUGAUGACCUACCACCUCUUGAGGAUGAAGCAGUGUCCCAUGCUGAUACCAACCCUGCUGUGCUGUAGAGGGGUCAACGCACUCCAGGCAGAAUUGUGUAGCAAGAAAUCAUACUAAACUUCUUCCAGCAAUGAAGUAAGGAAGUCAGAU